ACAAAUAUAGUCUCUUUAUUCACCCAGCUUAGUGGAGGGAAGAAAUACUUUAAAAAUGCAUAAAUACUACAACAGGGGAGGCCAUUGGAGUUCCCGGGAAAAUGCUAAUAAACAUUACACAUGAAUCAUGAAUGUUGGUGGAUGAUGAUGGCACUUUAUGCAGAGAUGAAGAAAGAUAUUAGAAUUGUUUACCUGGGGAUAUGAUAUAGAAGAAAUCUUUAAAUUCAUCCAUCCAAACUUC